UACGGGGGGGGCAAGCGUUGUUCGGAAUUACUGGGCGUAAAGGGCUCGUAGGCGGCCAACUAAGUCAGACGUGAAAUCCCCAGGCUCAACCUGGGAACUGCGUCUGAUACUGGAUGGCUUGAAUCCGGGAGAGGGAUGCAGAAUUCCAGGUGUAGCGGUGAAAUGCGUAGAUAUCAGGAGGAACACCGGUGGCGAAGGCGGGUCUCUGGGCCGUAACUGACGCUGAGGCGCGAAAGCUAGGGGAGCGAACAGG
rnacentral:rRNA from 1 species